AUUGUUUAGGUGAUCCAUCAGUACAAGAUAAUUUGAAAAAGUCUUCCAACAUUUUGAAAGGAGAGAUUGCCUUCAUGAAACAACUACAGAAAUGGUUGCGAGAAAAGUGUAAAUGGAAUCUUUGUUACAGAGCGUCCAGAGAUGGUUGGAGUGCCCAAGAUUUUCACAGGCAUUGUGACAAUACAGGACCAACAGUGGUUUUGGUAAAAGCCAAUAAUUGUAUAUUUGGUGGAUACACUGAUGGAGAGUGGAAAGG